UUAGCUUUUCUUAUAAUUGCGGAGAAAAUUGCAACAAAUUGACAAUUUCAAUCACAUCAAUGCUCCAAUUUCUCUUGAGAAACUAUGAAAACUUCACUUCUGUCCACCGUCCAUUCAUCCAAGAUAUAGAGCCUCGAGCCCCACGCCCGUCCCAAUACCAUUUUAUAAAGUAAAACCACUUCCUGUUUCCUGUUUUUACAAAUCCGCUACUUUUCCUUCUAUAAAAUAACACACCCACACCUCCUUCUAAACACUAGACGAAGCUUGAUAUAAUUCUCUCACUCUUAUCUGUAUUCUCUGUUCCCCUAAUACAUCGGAAGACCCCAUAAAUGAGUUAUUUGAACCGGGUUUGGAUGGCAGCUACCGUGGCUGCAGUUGGAUACCCUGAUCAAGGGUGGAAAUCCAGCUUAAAGUCACUGCACCCUGGCAAGAGGAGGGUGUUCUCUGGCGGAGAUGUGGUGGAGAUCCGGCCACUUGCUGCUGCUUCUGUCGGAUCGGAUUGUAUUGGUCUUGGAGGUUGUGGAUCGGAAGAGGGAGUGAGGCAGAACGACGAGUCUCUCCGACAAGUCAUGUACUUGAAUUGCUGGGGCCAGGGGUGACUAGGGUGAGAAGGCAGCGGUGACCGAGUGACUCAGUGAUGAGUUUGAGAGUCCAAGGUGAUUGACUCGGUGGUGAUCUCUAGCCGAUCAACUCAGCGGUGUGUUGGCGAGGUGCAGCCUGGGGGAUUUGGCCAGAGUUGACUAGGCAGUGGAUUGUGAUCGAUUGACUCAGUAGUGAGUUGUAGAGACUGAGGCAAUUGACCAGGUGGUGAGUUGUGGAAUCAAUGGUGCGAGGGGAUUGACUUUACAUUGUGAAUUUAUUGCGGGGAUGAGGAGAUGAUGGGAAAGAAAUUAAUGUGAAUUUGUACAGAAACAAAAUGUUAAAAAUAAUAUUGCACUGUUUUUGUCUUA